rnacentral:lncRNA from 1 species
UUCGGCCGUGUUUUCGAACACUUUUCUGAGGACGAGGUCACCUUCGCUAAAAUGCCGAUUAUGGACUUUCUUGUUGUAGUAUUUCGCUGCGGCGAGUUGAUAAUUCUGGAUUCGACAUAGCGCGGUGUUGCGGUUUUCUUCCAGGUCGUCGAGACUGUGCCUCAUCAUUUCAUCGUUGAGAUCAUUAUUCUGUAUCAUCAUGGAACGUCGGAGGCUUGUACACCCUACUUCGGCCGGGGCCAUCGCUUCCAUUCCGUAGGCUAAGGAAAACGGAGUUUGUUCGGUGGCACUGCGCGGGGUCGUUCUGUAUGACCACAGGACGCCGUCGAGUUCGUCUGCCCAGACUCCUUUUUUGGCUUCUAGCCGUUUCUUGAGUCCGGCGAGGAUUGUUUUGUUUGUUG